GGGUAUGGCUACCGAAUCCACAUUCUACAGAAUCCAGGAUGCUUACUGCAUAGAGCCGGUGCAGGAGUAUUGGGAUAAAACUAGAGCAGAAGUCAUAGACCGUUUACGGCAGAAGGACCAUGUUGUUCUCCUGGGUGAUGGCAGAAUGGAUUCUCCUGGUCAUUGUGCCCAGUUCUGCACAUACACUACAAUUGAACAAGACUCCAGAGAUGUGGUCCACAUUGUUUCCGUUGAUAAACGCGAAACAAAUAAAAACUUGGUCAUCAUGGAGAAGGAGUGCUUUGUUCGCACAAUGGAUGUGCUCCUUCCAGAGCUUUCUAUAAAGGAAGUGGUCACUAAUGCCCACCCACAAAUCACAGCAU